rnacentral:rRNA from 1 species
AGUGAACGCUGGCGGUAGGCCUAACACAUGCAAGUCGAACGGCAGCACAGAGGAGCUUGCUCCUUGGGUGGCGAGUGGCGGACGGGUGAGGAAUACAUCGGAAUCUACUCUGUCGUGGGGGAUAACGGAUGGAAACUUACGCUACUACCGCAUACGACCUACGUGUGAAAGCAGGGGAUGUUCGGAUCUUCCGCGAUUGAAUGAGCCGAUGUCGGAUUAGGUAGUUGGCGGGGUAAAGGCCCACCAAGGAGACGAUCCGUAGCUGGUCUGCGAGGAUGAUCAGCCACACCGGAACUGAGACACGGUCCAGAAUCGUACGGGAGGCAGCAGUGGGGAAUAUUGGACAAUGGGCGCAAGCCUGAUCCAGCCAUACCGCGUGGGUGAAGAAGGCCUUCGGGUUGUAAAGCCCUUUUGUUGGGAAAGAAAUCCAUCUGGUUAAUACCCGGGUGGGAUGACGGUACCCAAAGAAUAAGCACCGGCUAACUUCGUGCCAGCAGCCGCAGUAA